CUGAUUUCCUGAUUGGAUUGGGUUUGUCGGAAAAGUUUCAAGAAGCAUCUGAAAUCUGCAUGGACAGCUGAACAGCCCGUGGCUCUGGUCUGUGGCAGCGCAUCAGCCGUGUCUGAGAGCUGUCACUGCCCCGUGGUGGAUUUGUUGGCCCACUCGAUGUACAGCUCCAGAGGACAAGGUUUCAGAGGAGAGACACCUGACCUUGGCAUUUUCCCAGUGGGACGUUGCUGCCAUGGGCUCUCCUGCUCCACCUUUUCCAGCGCCACACAAAGGCCGUGCAGGGAGCUUCAGUCUCCAUUGCACUGUGCAGCUCAGAGAGGACUUCUCACCUUUGAAAUUUACAGAAAUGCUGGCUAACUGACCCAUUUACAACCUGGAAAGGCAGUUGCUUGGCAGAGCAGUGCCUGUGUUUUCAAUACCAAGCUAACUGGAGCGGGAGAGCGACUGCCAGAGAAGCGGUUCCUGUGCCUGUCAGCACUAUGCCCUUCUUCACUGUGCUGAGGUACUCUCUACCUUCUCUAUUCUGUUCUGUAAAAGUCAUCUAUUAGCAUAAACAAUCACGAUCAUCAAUGUUUGAAGCUUGCAGAUUGAACCAGUCACAGAGAGCAAACUGAAGGCACAAACGUGAUGGCUGCUUCCACGCUCAGCAGCGAGGGGCAGUGCGGGGAGCUCAGCCUGCAGAGCAGCAGGCCUCAGGUGGCGAGGCAACGAGCACCCGAGAUGGAGGGACACACCUGAGUGUAAUGCUGGGUAACGAAAUGCAUUUGAGGAAGUGGGAUAGCUGCUAAUGGGCAGAGUUAAGUCCCCAGUACCAACAGCCAGACGUUGUUUGCUGCAUGGCUGUGGCAGGGAUUUGGCUGAACUGUGCUGGGCCUCCUGCGAGCACACGAGGUUUGCCUGUGGUGCUGUAUGGAGAGGCCAUCUUGUGACAUGUGUGGGCCCGAACGUGACAGAAGAGCUCAGCUGCUGUGCUCUUGUCCCCCUUAAUUAGGGGCUGGUGGUUUAAUUUUGCUUUAGGCAGACCUAAAGAGCGAGUUGAAGGCCCAUUGACUGCAUGCUAACAAAAGCAGGAAAAUACAGCUCUACGGUGGCGACUACCACACAAAUCUCUCUAGAGGGAGGCAGAGAGCUAUUUCUACAGGAAGAUUUGAUAGUUUAUGUGUGCAGCACAAUCAGGAGCAACAGAAAAGCACUCUGUCAAGUGUGUUUCAGGUGGCAGCACAGGUUAUGCUAGUGGCAAAGUCCUUAAAUAUUCACCUCCAUCAUCUGCUCAGCAGGAUUUUUCUCUUGCAAAAGCUGCACAGCGCUUUUCCUGCAAUUGCAGCUCUCUGACCGUAGCCCAUCUUGUGCAGAACCAGGGGGUGCUUGCAGGGAACCAGCUCUGAACUGGGGCCUGCCUAAUCAGGACUGGAAGUCAUAACGAAGUAGCCUGGUCCUCGCGGCUGUGCUUCCAGGAUGGCAGCUAAUUAUUUCAGAAAUCUGUCGGCUUCAUAUCUGAACUCGGAGCUCUCUCAAAGUCUGGGGUCAGCACAUGCUCCCGCUCUCCAAGCCCCUCCAGCAGCCGUGGCAGCGCGGACCCUGACACGACAAGCCAAGAGCUCCCGCAGCAUCUCCCCCCACCUCUGCCAUCAUGUCAGCAGGAGGGAGAGCGAGCGCAGAGAUACAGGUACGGCCGCCUUGCCUAACGUAGACCAGAGAGGAGGAGUAUUUCCUUCAUCUUUGUAACAGGUACUGUGUGAAGGGCAAUUGCAGCUGAGGAAACAAAAGAAUAUUUUCACAGUAGUAAGGAGAGAGACAGCCUGGAGAAGUGUGGCACGUGAGGCUAUCAAGGGCUUUCUCCAUGGCUAGCUGGGCCAUGCCUUUGUGUUUGGAAGUCGCUGAAACCAAAGAAAGAAAGGCCUGUUGCCAUGACUGGCAGGGUCUCAUUAUUCUAUUCCAUGGCUUAUGGUUUAAUGCUUGUUUAACUGGAUUUUUUUUUUCCCUGACUUUUGAUUUC